CCUACGGGAGGCAGCAGUGGGGAAAUAUUGCGCAAUGGGCGAAAGCCUGACGCAGCCAUGCCGCGUGUGUGAAGAAGGCCCUAGGGUUGUAAAGCACUUUCAAUAGGGAGAAAAGGCUCACGGUUAAUACCCGUGAGAGUUGAUGUUACCUAUAGAAGAAGCACCGGCUAACUCCGUGCCAGCAGCCGCGGUAAUACGGAGGGUGCGGGCGUUAAUCGGAAUUACUGGGCGUAAAGCGCGCGUAGGCGGUCUGUUAAGUCAGCUGUGAAAGCCCCGGGCUUAACCUGGGAACUGCAGUUGAUACUGGCAGGCUAGAGUACGAGAGAGGGAGGUAGAAUUCCAUGUGUAGCGGUGAAAUGCGUAGAUAUAUGGAGGAAUACCAGUGGCGAAGGCGGCCUCCUGGCUCGAUACUGACGCUGAGGUGCGAAAGCGUGGGUAGCAAACAGGAUUAGAUACCCUGGUAGUCCACGCCGUAAACGAUGUCUACUAGCCGUUGGGUGACUUGAUUGCUUAGUGGCGCAGCUAACGCAAUAAGUAGACCGCCUGGGGAGUACGGCCGCAAGGUUAAAACUCAAAUGAAUUGACGGA
rnacentral:rRNA from 1 species